rnacentral:rRNA from 1 species
UACGUAGGGUGCGAGCGUUAAUCGGAAUUACUGGGCGUAAAGCGUGUGCAGGCGGUCUGUUAAGACAGGUGUGAAAUCCCCGGGCUUAACCUGGGAAUGGCGCUUGUUACUGGCAGACUAGAGUGCGUCAGAGGGGGGGUGGAAUUCCACGUGUAGCAGUGAAAUGCGUAGAGAAUGUGGAGGAACACCGAUGGCGAAGGCAGCCCCCUGGGAUGACACUGACGCCUCGAUACACAAAGCGUGG